rnacentral:rRNA from 1 species
UGGUGGAGUGAUUUGUCUGGUUAAUUCCGUUAACGAACGAGACCUCGACCUGCUAAAUAGCUCGCUUCUGGUCUCCAGAGGUCGAUGCUUCUUAGAGGGACUAUCGGAUUUUCAGCCGAUGGAAGUACGAGGCAAUAACA